UAUUUUUCAGCGAUUAAAAAACGAAAGCUGCGUUCGUUCGAUAAAGACUAUUUUGAUGCAAAAGCCGAUUCUAAGAUUACUUAUGAUUAAGUGCAGUUUACAUUUAAACACAGUUAGCGUCUAAACGCAGUUUGCGUCUAAAUGCAGAUUGCGUCUAAACUCAGAUUGCGUCUUGUAACACCCCUCAUUUCCGAAUGUUCGUAUGAAUUUUUGGUGAUAAUGUAAGCAUCUAUUUUAAUUAACAAAAGAAAUAGAGUAUGAAUUAGAGGUAACCUAUUUGUAAGAUUUGGGAGAUCUGUUCAAAAAAAAAAAAAAAAAAAGAAGAAAGAAUCUGAGGACCUAUAUGUAAACCCUAAGGACCUAAUCGUGAAUAUGAUAAAAACAAGGACUAAACUGCAAAAUGCACCAAAUGACAAAUUCCACCGCUUAAGCCUCUCUGCCUUCGUUGUUAAGGAAGCAGAGGAGGCAGCUCGUGGGUGAUCAGGGAAAGAAAAGAAGAAGAUGAAGAAGAAGAAGAAGAAGGAGAAGAGAAAGAAAAUUUGGGGCUUUUAGGGUUUUUGAUUUAAUCUUGUUACUUCGGGUCAAAAUUUGCAAAGGAUAGCGUAUCUCUUGCUUAAAUGUUAAGAAUGGGCUGAGGCAGUGGAAAGUUUAGAAGACGUUGGGCAGAACUUUUGUUAGCAUAUAUGUAGUUGUGUAUAAGCUACCUUGCAUCUAAUGAAAUGUGACUAUGAAUCUAAACCUGUGGAUUUUGUGUAAGUUAAAGGAUCCCUCAUGUAUAGGGUUUUGGAAUGUUAAAUUAAAUUUGUGUAAUGAUAUGAACUUAUGGUAAAUCGAUGAUUGUGGUGACUGCAUA